UACGUAGGGGGCGAGCGUUGUCCGAAGUUACUGGGCGUAAAGCGCACGUAGGCGGCUUUGUAAGUUAGAGGUGAAAGCCCAGGGCUUAACCCUGGAAUUGCCUUUAAGACUGCAUCGCUAGAAUCGUGGAGAGGUGAGUGGAAUUCCGAGUGUAGAGGUGAAAUUCGUAGAUAUUCGGAAGAACACCAGUGGCGAAGGCGACUCACUGGACACGUAUUGACGCUGAGGUGCGAAAGCGUGGGGAGCAAACAGG
rnacentral:rRNA from 1 species